rnacentral:rRNA from 1 species
AGAGUUUGAUCAUGGCUCAGAACGAACGCUGGCGGCAGGCUUAACACAUGCAAGUCGAGCGCCCGUAGCAAUACGGGAGCGGCAGACGGGUGAGUAACACAUGGGAACGUGCCCUUCGGUUCGGAACAACCCAGGGAAACUUGGGCUAAUACCGGAUACGCCCUUACGGGGAAAGAUUUAUCGCCGAAGGAUCGGCCCGCGUCUGAUUAGCUAGUUGGUGGGGUAAUGGCUCACCAAGGCGACGAUCAGUAGCUGGUCUGAGAGGAUGAUCAGCCACACUGGGACUGAGACACGGCCCAGACUCCUACGGGAGGCAGCAGUGGGGAAUCUUGGACAAUGGGCGCAAGCCUGAUCCAGCCAUGCCGCGUGGGUGAUGAAGGCCCUAGGGUUGUAAAGCCCUUUCGGCGGGGAAGAUAAUGACGGUACCCGCAGAAGAAGCCCCGGCUAACUUCGUGCCAGCAGCCGCGGUAAUACA